rnacentral:rRNA from 1 species
AUGAACGCUAGCUACAGGCUUAACACAUGCAAGUCGAGGGGCAGCAUUUUAGUUUGCUUGCAAACUGAAGAUGGCGACCGGCGCACGGGUGAGUAACACGUAUCCAACCUGCCGAUAACUCCGGGAUAGCCUUUCGAAAGAAAGAUUAAUACCGGAUGGCAUACGAAUAUCGCAUGAUAUUUUUAUUAAAGAAUUUCGGUUAUCGAUGGGGAUGCGUUCCAUUAGUUUGUUGGCGGGGUAACGGCCCACCAAGACUACGAUGGAUAGGGGUUCUGAGAGGAAGGUCCCCCACAUUGGAACUGAGACACGGUCCAAACUCCUACGGGAGGCAGCAGUGAGGAAUAUUGGUCAAUGGGCGCGAGCCUGAACCAGCCAAGUAGCGUGAAGGAUGAAGGCUCUAUGGGUCGUAAACUUCUUUUAUAUGGGAAUAAAGUUUUCCACGUGUGGAAUUUUGUAUGUACCAUAUGAAUAAGGAUCGGCUAACUCCGUGCCAGCAGCCGCGGUAAUACGGAGGAUCCGAGCGUUAUCCGGAUUUAUUGGGUUUAAAGGGAGCGUAGGUGGAUUGUUAAGUCAGUUGUGAAAGUUUGCGGCUCAACCGUAAAAUUGCAGUUGAAACUGGCAGUCUUGAGUACAGUAGAGGUGGGCGGAAUUCGUGGUGUAGCGGUGAAAUGCUUAGAUAUCACGAAGAACUCCGAUUGCGAAGGCAGCUCACUAGACUGUCACUGACACUGAUGCUCGAAAGUGUGGGUAUCAAACAGGAUUAGAUACCCUGGUAGUCCACACAGUAAACGAUGAAUACUCGCUGUUUGCGAUAUACAGUAAGCGGCCAAGCGAAAGCAUUAAGUAUUCCACCUGGGGAGUACGCCGGCAACGGUGAAACUCAAAGGAAUUGACGGGGGCCCGCACAAGCGGAGGAACAUGUGGUUUAAUUCGAUGAUACGCGAGGAACCUUACCCGGGCUUAAAUUGCAACAGAAUAUAUUGGAAACAGUAUAGCCGUAAGGCUGUUGUGAAGGUGCUGCAUGGUUGUCGUCAGCUCGUGCCGUGAGGUGUCGGCUUAAGUGCCAUAACGAGCGCAACCCUUAUCUUUAGUUACUAACAGGUCAUGCUGAGGACUCUAGAGAGACUGCCGUCGUAAGAUGUGAGGAAGGUGGGGAUGACGUCAAAUCAGCACGGCCCUUACGUCCGGGGCUACACACGUGUUACAAUGGGGGGUACAGAAGGCGGCUACCUGGUGACAGGAUGCUAAUCCCAAAAACCUCUCUCAGUUCGGAUCGAAGUCUGCAACCCGACUUCGUGAAGCUGGAUUCGCUAGUAAUCGCGCAUCAGCCAUGGCGCGGUGAAUACGUUCCCGGGCCUUGUACACACCGCCCGUCACACCAUGAGAGCCGGGGGGACCCGAAGUCGGUAGUCUAACCGCAAGGAGGGCGCCGCCGAAGGUAAAACUGGUGAUUGGGGUG